GAUUAUCAACUUUCGAUGGUAGGAUAGAGGCCUACCAUGGUGGUAACGGGUAACGGGGUGUUAGGGCACGACACCGGAGAGGGAGCCUGAGAAACGGCUACCACAUCCAAGGAUGGCAGCAGGCGCGCAAAUUACCCAAUCCCGACACGGGGAGGUAGUGACAAUAAAUAACAAUACGGGGUUCUUAUGGAUUUCGUAAUUGGAAUGAGUACAAUUUAAAUCUCUUAACGAGGAACAAUUGGAGGGCAAGUCUGGUGCCAGCAGCCGCGGUAAUUCCAGCUCCAAUAGCGUAUAUUAAAGUUGUUGCAGUUAAAAAGCUCGUAGUUGAAUUUCGGGAUCAAUAUGUUGGUCGUGCCUCGGUACGUACUAGCAUAUUGGUUUCUCCUUUCUGAAGAACCAUGAUGUCAUUUAUUUGGUGUCGUGGGGAAUCAGGACUGUUACUUUGAAAAAAUUAGAGUGUUUAAAGCAGGCUCACGCUUGAAUACAUUAGCAUGGAAUAAUGAAAUAGGACGUUUGAUUCUAUUUUGUUGGUUUCUAGGAUCGACGUAAUGAUUAAUAGGGAUAGUUGGGGGCAUUAGUAUUCAAUUGUCAGAGGUGAAAUUCUUGGAUUUAUUGAAGACUAACUACUGCGAAAGCAUUUGCCAAGGAUGUUUUCAUUAAUCAAGAACGAAAGUUAGGGGAUCGAAGACGAUCAGAUACCGUCGUAGUCUUAACCAUAAACUAUGCCGACUAGGGAUCGGAUGAUGUUAAUUUUUUAAUGACUCAUUCGGCGCCUUACGGGAAACCAAAGUGUUUGGGUU
rnacentral:rRNA from 1 species